AUUGAACGCUGGCGGCAGGCCUAACACAUGCAAGUCGAGCGGAUGAGAGGAGCUUGCUUCUCGAUUCAGCGGCGGACGGGUGAGUAAUGCCUAGGAAUCUGCCUGGUAGUGGGGGACAACGUUUCGAAAGGAACGCUAAUACCGCAUACGUCCUACGGGAGAAGGCAGGGGACCUUCGGGCCUUGCGCUAUCAGAUGAGCCUAGGUCGGAUUAGCUAGUUGGUGAGGUAAUGGCUCACCAAGGCGACGAUCCGUAACUGGUCUGAGAGGAUGAUCAGUCACACUGGAACUGAGACACGGUCCAGACUCCUACAAGAGGCAGCAGUGGGGAAUAUUGGACAAUGGGCGAAAGCCUGAUCCAGCCAUGCCGCGUGUGUGAAGAAGGUCUUCGGAUUGUAAAGCACUUUAAGUUGGGAGGAAGGGUUGUAGAUUAAUACUCUGCAAUUUUGACGUUACCGACAGAAUAAGCACCGGCUAACUCUGUGCCAGCCGCCGCAGUAACAC
rnacentral:rRNA from 1 species